UAGGGAAUCUUCCACAAUGGACGCAAGUCUGAUGGAGCAACGCCGCGUGAGUGAAGAAGGGUUUCGGCUCGUAAAGCUCUGUUGGUAGUGAAGAAAGAUAGAGGUAGUAACUGGCCUUUAUUUGACGGUAAUUACUUAGAAAGUCACGGCUAACUACGUGCCAGCAGCCGCGGUAAUACGUAGGUGGCAAGCGUUGUCCGGAUUUAUUGGGCGUAAAGCGAGUGCAGGCGGUUCAAUAAGUCUGAUGUGAAAGCCUUCGGCUCAACCGGAGAAUUGCAUCAGAAACUGUUGAACUUGAGUGCAGAAGAGGAGAGUGGAACUCCAUGUGUAGUGGUGGAAUGCGUAGAUAUAUGGAAGAACACCAGUGGCGAAGGCGGCUCUCUGGUCUGCAACUGACGCUGAGGCUCGAAAGCAUGGGUAGCGAACAGGAUUAGAUACCCUGGUAGUCCAUGCCGUAAACGAUGAGUGCUAAGUGUUGGGAGGUUUCCGCCUCUCAGUGCUGCAGCUAACGCAUUAAGCACUCCGCCUGGGGAGUACGACCGCAAGGUUG
rnacentral:rRNA from 1 species